rnacentral:rRNA from 1 species
AGAGUUUGAUUCUGGCUCAGGAUGAACGCUGGCGGCGUGCCUAACACAUGCAAGUCGAGCGGACCAAUGUUCAUUUCAGCUUUGCUGAUUUGAGCAACGGUUAGCGGCGGACGGGUGAGUAACGCGUGGGCAACCUGCCCUGUGCAGGGGGAUAACACAGCGAAAGCUGUGCUAAUACCCCAUAAGACUACGCUAUCGCAUGAUAGAGUAGUCAAAGCUUUAGCGGCACAGGAUGGGCCCGCGUCUGAUUAGCUAGUUGGUGGGGUAACGGCCUACCAAGGCGACGAUCAGUAGCCGACCUGAGAGGGUGAUCGGCCACACUGGAACUGAGACACGGUCCAGACUCCUACGGGAGGCAGCAGUGGGGAAUAUUGCACAAUGGGGGAAACCCUGAUGCAGCAACGCCGCGUGAGCGAAGAAGGCCUUCGGGUCGUAAAGCUCUGUCCUAAGGGAAGAAGUAUGACGGUACCUUAGGAGGAAGCCCCGGCUAACUACGUGCCAGCAGCCGCGGUAAUACGUAGGGGGCGAGCGUUAUCCGGAAUCACUGGGCGUAAAGGGUGCGUAGGCGGCCGAGUAAGCCAGAGGUGAAAGGCUACGGCUUAACCGUAGUAAGCCUUUGGAACUACUUGGCUUGAGUGCAGGAGAGGAGAGUGGAAUUCCUAGUGUAGCGGUGAAAUGCGUAGAUAUUAGGAGGAACACCAGUGGCGAAGGCGACUCUCUGGACUGUAACUGACGCUGAGGCACGAAAGCGUGGG